UACAGAGGGGGCAAGCGUUGUCCGGAUUUACUGGGCGUAAAGGAUGCGUAGGCGGACAUUUAAGUCAGAUGUGAAAUACCCGAGCUUAACUUGGGUGCUGCAUUUGAAACUGGGUGUCUAGAGUGCAGGAGAGGUAAGUGGAAUUCCUAGUGGUAGCGGUGAAAUGCGUAGAGAUUAGGAAGACACCAGUGGCGAAGGCGGCUCACUGGCUCGGUACUGACGCUGAGGCGCGACAGCGUGGGAGC
rnacentral:rRNA from 1 species